ensembl:snRNA U6 U6 spliceosomal RNA
GUGUUCACUUUGACAGCACAUAUACAAAAAUUGGAACUAUACAGAGAAGAUUAGCAUGGCCCCUGUGCAGGAUGACAUACAUUUUUUUAAAAAAAUAGAGUAACCAAUGAUA